rnacentral:rRNA from 1 species
UAGAUACCCGGGUAGUCCACACCGUAAACGAUGAAUGCCAGACGUCAGCAAGCAUGCUUGUUGGUGUCACACCUAACGGAUUAAGCAUUCCGCCUGGGGAGUACGGUCGCAAGAUUAAAACUCAAAGGAAUUGACGGGGGCCCGCACAAGCGGUGGAGCAUGUGGUUUAAUUCGACGCAACGCGCAGAACCUUACCAACCCUUGACAUACUUGUCGCGGAUUCCAGAGAUGGAUUCCUUCAGUUCGGCUGGACAGUGUACAGGUGCUGCAUGGCCGCCGUCAG